rfam:Danio rerio chromosome 4, GRCz11 reference primary assembly.
GCUUACGGCCAUACCACCCUGGAAAUGCCCGAUCUCAUCUGAACUCGCAAGUAAAGCAGGGUCGGGCCUGGUUAGUACUUGGAACUUGGAUGGGAGACCGCCUGGGAAUACCAGGUGCUGUAAGCU